GACGAACGCUGGCGGCGUGCUUAACACAUGCAAGUCGAACGGAAAGGCCCUGCUUUUGUGGGGUGCUCGAGUGGCGAACGGGUGAGUAACACGUGAGUAACCUGCCCUUGACUUUGGGAUAACUUCAGGAAACUGGGGCUAAUACCGGAUAGGAGCUCCUGCUGCAUGGUGGGGGUUGGAAAGUUUCGGCGGUUGGGGAUGGACUCGCGGCUUAUCAGCUUGUUGGUGGGGUAGUGGCUUACCAAGGCUUUGACGGGUAGCCGGCCUGGGAGGGUGACCGGGCACAUUGGGACUGAGAUACGGCCCAGACUCCUACGGGAGGCAGCAGUGGGGAAUAUUGCACAAUGGGCGGAAGCCUGAUGCAGCAACGCCGCGUGCGGGAUGACGGCCUUCGGGUUGUAAACCGCUUUAGCCUGUGACGAAGCGUGAGUGACGGUAAUGGGUAAAGAAGCACCGGCUAACUACGUG
rnacentral:rRNA from 1 species